rnacentral:rRNA from 1 species
AACGAACGCUGGCGGCAUGCCUAACACAUGCAAGUCGAACGAGACCUUCGGGUCUAGUUGCGCACGGGUGCGUAACGCGUGGGAACCUGCCCUUAGGUUCGGAAUAACUCCCCUAAAGGGGUGCUAAUACCGGAUAAUGUCUUCGGACCAAAGAUUUAUCGCCUUUGUAUGGGCCCGCGUUGUAUUAGCUAGUUGGUAGGGUAAAAGCCUACCAAGGCGACGAUCAUUAGCGGGUCUGAGAGGCUGAUCAGCCACACUGGGACUGAGACACGGCCCAGACUCCUACGGGAGGCAGCAGUGGGGAAUAUUGGACAAUGGGCGAAAGCAUGAUCCAGCAAUGCCGCGUGAGUGAUGAAGGCCUUAGGGUUGUAAAGCUCUUUUACCCGGGAUGAUAAUGACAGUACCGGGAGAAUAAGCUCCGGCUAACUCCGUG